AGCCGUUUUUCCUUUCUCAGCGGCAAUCUUUCCUCCUUUAGAUGACUUUCCAAGAUUUGAUGGCAUGUGCUGAAAUUUUUGCUUUGUACUUUCGUGCCUUCUCUAAAAAGCCUAUUUCAACCCUUGAGAAAGGAAGCCGAACACAAAUUGCAGCCAUGUAUACUCGAGUUACAAGCAAUGUAAUGGGAUCCCCACCAAAGAGGAGCAGACAGUACGAAAAAGAAUUUAAAAUCUACCGAAGACAUUUCUGACAGCAAAAGGAGAAAAAGUUUUAGUUGUAACCACACGGUCGUUAUUGUUAAGAUUCAACUCAUGUUUAUUUCGGGCAUAAUGUACCCACGUCAUCUCUUUUAAUCUCUUUUAUCCCCACUUUUCAGAUGAAAUCCUCCAUUAACCCCAUUUUGCAGAUGAGGAUAUAGAGACUGGGAAAUGUUGAAAGAUUUGUCAAUGACAGGUUGGGGCUCAGGCCAGUGGCAAGGGAGAAUCCGCAGUUGCAGGAGGGCAGACUUCUCGUCUGAUUUCGAGCCCAGGGGUUCUGCUCCUCUCCAGCUCGUCCUACUGGGGCUGCAAGGGUUAGAGCACAAAGAGGAAGAAGAGGUAAGGGGAGCAGAAAAUUCUUACUUGCCAGAUACUCUGGGGGUGAUUUAGUAUAUGAAUUUCCUAAGAUUCGGCAUGUGUUUAAAACUGAUUGCUUUGGGGUGUGUAUGUGGGGCAGAGGGUUGUCAUUCAUAGAGACACCCCUGUCCCCCAUCACUGGGGAUCUUUCCUGUGUCAUUCUCUUCACAGGGUGAAUGAGUCC
rnacentral:lncRNA from 1 species